UACAGAGGGUGCGAGCGUUAAUCGGAAUUACUGGGCGUAAAGCGUGCGUAGACGGUUAUCUAAGUCGGAUGUGAAAGCCCCGGGCUCAACCUGGGAAUUGCAUUCGAGACUGAACAGCUAGGGUACGGUAGAGGGAAGUGGAAUUUCCGGUGUAGCGGUGAAAUGCGUAGAUAUCGGAAGGAACAUCAGUGGCGAAAGCGACUUCCUGGACCAGUACCGACGUUCAGGCACGAAAGCGUGGGGAGCAAACAGG
rnacentral:rRNA from 1 species